AUUGAAUCCCUAAACCCUAAACUACCCAAACCAGCUCCCUAAAUCAGUGUCGCCUCCUCUUCCUCUCUCUCUCACUUAGUUUCCUCAGCCCUCUCUCUCUCAUGCGAGUCGCUGAAAUGCACCAUGACUGUGCCAGCUUCCCCGUCAUUCUUUCUCUCUGAUAUCUCUCCCGCUGGACCUCUGUUUUUCUGUGAGACACCAAUUUCUCAGCCUAGAGAGAGAGAGAGAGAGCGAGAGAGGGAGUCGCACACAGAUAUGGCGGGUCAGAUUGUUAAAGCAAGGAGGGAUGGAGGCAUGCAUGACAUGCCCUCUUUGUAAUAAGCUCUUGAGCGAAGCUACUACCAUCUCUCUCUGCCUCCACACGAAAAUGGGUGAACUCGGCGUGUCAGACUCGGCACCCGGAGGACUCAGUCGAUAACCAUCUCGUCGAUAUGGAGAUGAGGCUCCAAAUCGUAUCUGAAGAGAU